rnacentral:rRNA from 1 species
AACGAACGCUGGCGGCAUGCCUAACACAUGCAAGUCGAACGAACCCUUCGGGGUUAGUGGCGCACGGGUGCGUAACGCGUGGGAAUCUGCCCUUUGCUUCGGAAUGACUCAGGGAAACUUGUGCUAAUACCGGAUGAUGUCUUCGGACCAAAGAUUUAUCGGCAAGGGAUGAGCCCGCGUAGGAUUAGGUAGUUGGUGGGGUAAAGGCCUACCAAGCCGACGAUCCUUAGCUGGUCUGAGAGGAUGAUCAGCCACACUGGGACUGAGACACGGCCCAGACUCCUACGGGAGGCAGCAGUGGGGAAUAUUGGACAAUGGGCGCAAGCCUGAUCCAGCAAUGCCGCGUGAGUGAUGAAGGCCCUCGGGUCGUAAAGCUCUUUUACCAGGGAUGAUAAUGACAGUACCUGGAGAAUAAGCUCCGGCUAACUCCGUG